CCGAAUCUGGAUAUGCCAUAGCUCUCUCGGACCCAGCGCUCCAAGAAUCCUUGUAUGCAGUAGCGAUUUUCGGAAUCCUCCUUUGAGAUUUUCGGAUUUUAUUACUUUGUCAACAACAAUAUUUUGAUUCUUACAGGGGCCGAGUGGCGUUGGGGCGUUUUUGACAGUUUCUUUGGAAGGACCUCUAUGCUGCUAGUUUAAACUGUUGGGGCGUUUCUGAUUUUUGCAGCAGCUGUGUUGCGCUUGUUUUGAGUAGCAGCUGUUGUCAGGGAGUUUUUUUCCCUGUCAUAUAGCGCCUGUAUUUUGGUGUUUUAGUUUGGAAUAGAUUGCCUUGUCUAAUUUCUUGUCUUUUGCACUACAAUUUGAUUCUUGUUUUUAUAAUAUCAUUAUCA
rnacentral:lncRNA from 1 species